ACGUACACUCCUGCGGGAGGCAGCAGUGGGGAAUAUUGGACAAUGGGCGCAAGCCUGAUCCAGCCAUGCCGCGUGAGUGAUGAAGGCCCUAGGGUUGUAAAGCUCUUUCACCGGUGAAGAUGAUGACGGUAACCGGAGAAGAAGCCCCGGCUAACUUCGUGCCAGCAGCCGCGGUAAUACGAAGGGGGCUAGCGUUGUUCGGAUUUACUGGGCGUAAAGCGCACGUAGGCGGACUAUUAAGUCAGGGGUGAAAUCCCGGGGCUCAACCCCGGAACUGCCUUUGAUACUGGUAGUCUUGAGUUCGAGAGAGGUGAGUGGAAUUCCGAGUGUAGAGGUGAAAUUCGUAGAUAUUCGGAGGAACACCAGUGGCGAAGGCGGCUCACUGGCUCGAUACUGACGCUGAGGUGCGAAAGCGUGGGGAGCAAACAGGAUUAGAUACCCCGGUAGUCCCAUG
rnacentral:rRNA from 1 species